rnacentral:tRNA from 1 species
CCCCCGGUAGCUCAGCGGUAGAGCACCCGGCUGUAGACCGGGGGGUCGGGGGUUCGAAUCCCUCCCGGGGGACCA